rnacentral:rRNA from 1 species
AUGUUGGCUUAGAAGCAGCCAUUCAUUUAAAGAGUGCGUAAUAGCUCACUGGUCGAGUGAUCCUGCGCCGAAGAUUUCCGGGGCUAAAACAUACUACCGAAGCUACGGCAUCGAAAGAUGGGUAGAGGAGCUUCCCAUGCAGGAUGAAGCAGUACCGUAAGGAGCUGUGGACAGUAUGGGAGAGAGAAUGUUGGCAUGAGUAGCGAGAUGAAGGUGAGAAUCCUUCAGGCCGUAAACCCAAGGUUUCCAGGGGAAGGUUCGUCCUCCCUGGGUUAGUCGGGACCUAAGCUCAGGCCGAAAGGCGUAGGCGAUGGACAACAGGUUGAAAUUCCUGUACUACCGAUAAUCGUUUGAGAGAUGGGAUGACACAGUAGGAUAAGCUGAGCACACUGUUGGUUAUGUGUGUCUAAGUAUUGAGGCAGAUCGAAUAGGCAAAUCCGUUUGAUUAAUGCUGGGAUACGAUGGGGAGCGAAACUAAGUAGCGAAGCAGCUGAUUUCACACUGUCGAGAAAAGUCUCUAUCGAGAUUAAAGGUACCCGUACCGCAAACCGACACAGGUGGGUGAGGAGAGUAUCCUAAGGCCAGCGAGAGAACUGUUGUUAAGGAACUCGGCAAAAUGACCCCGUAACUUAGGGAUAAGGGGUGCCCCAGAAAUGGGGCCGCAGAGAAUUGGCCCAAGCGACUGUUUACCAAAAACAUAGGUUUCUGCUAAGUCGCAAGACGAUGUAUAGGAGCUGACGCCUGCCCGGUGCUGGAAGGUUAAGGGGAUCUGUUAGAGCAAUCGAAGCAGUGAUCUUAAGCCCCAGUAAACGGCGGCCGUAACUAUAACGGUCCUAAGGUAGCGAAAUUCCUUGUCGGGUAAGUUCCGACCCGCACGAAAGGCGUAACGAUUUGGGCACUGUCUCAACAACAGACUCGGUGAAAUUGUAGUCCCGGUGAAGAUGCCGGGUACCUGCGACAGGACGGAAAGACCCCAUGGAGCUUUACUGUAGCUUGACAUUGGGUCUCGGUACUACAUGUACAGGAUAGGUGGGAGACUGAGAAAUCUGGGCGUCAGUUUAGAUGGAGUCAUCCUUGGGAUACCACCCUUGUAGUAUUGGGACUCUAACCAUAGGCCAUGAAUCUGGUCUUGGGACACUGUCUGGUGGGCAGUUUGACUGGGGCGGUCGCCUCCCAAAAGGUAACGGAGGCGCUCAAAGGUUCCCUCAGUACGGUCGGAAAUCGUACGAAGAGUGUAAAGGCAAAAGGGAGCUUGAUUGCAAGACAUACAGGUCGAGCAAGGUAGAAAUACGGACUUAGUGAUCCGGUGGUUCUGCGUGGAAGGGCCAUCGCUCAACGGAUAAAAGCUACCCUGGGGAUAACAGGCUUAUCUCCCCCAAGAGUCCACAUCGACGGGGAGGUUUGGCACCUCGAUGUCGGCUCAUCACAUCCUGGGGCUGUAGUUGGUCCCAAGGGUUGGGCUGUUCGCCCAUUAAAGUGGUACGCGAGCUGGGUUCAGAACGUCGUGAGACAGUUCGGUCCCUAUCCGUCGCAGGCGUAGGAAAUUUGAGGAGAUCUGUCCUUAGUACGAGAGGACCGGGAUGGACAUACCUCUGGUGUACCAGUUGUUCUGCCAAGGGCAUGGCUGGGUAGCUAUGUAUGGAAAGGAUAAGCGCUGAAAGCAUCUAAGCGCGAAGCCAACUUCAAGAUAAGAUUUCCCACCGCAAGGUUAAGAUCCCAGGAAGACUACCUGGUUGA